AGUGAACGCUGGCGGUAGGCCUAACACAUGCAAGUCGAACGGCAGCACAGUAAGAGCUUGCUCUUACGGGUGGCGAGUGGCGGACGGGUGAGGAAUACAUCGGAAUCUACUUUUUCGUGGGGGAUAACGUAGGGAAACUUCCGCUAAUACCGCAUACGACCUACGGUUGAAAGCAGGGGAUCUUCGGACCUUGCGCGAUUGAAUGAGCCGAUGUCGGAUUAGCUAGUUGGCGGGGUAAAGGCCCACCAAGGCGACGAUCCGUAGCUGGUCUGAGAGGAUGAUCAGCCACACUGGAACUGAGACACGGUCCAGACUCCUACGGGAGGCAGCAGUGGGGAAUAUUGGACAAUGGGCGCAAGCCUGAUCCAGCCAUACCGCGUGGAUGAAGAAGGCCUUCGGGUUGUAAAGCCCUUUUGUUGGGGAAGAAAAGCAGCAGGUUAAUACCCCGCUGUUCUGACGGUACCCAAAGAAUAAGCACCGGCUAACUUCGUG
rnacentral:rRNA from 1 species